ensembl:lncRNA
GGAGAACAGGAAAAACAGGAAAUCAGAUGGAAGACAGGUGGAGUUACCUGCAGCCCAGCAGAAGAGCGGAGCUCCAGGAUCCACAUGUGACUCCACCUAUGAGACCAUGACUCCAGCCCCCACAGACCAGGACCACAUCUACUCCACCCUCACCGACAUGCAGAACAUGUCACAUGUGCGAUUCAGUCAGACGGACACAAUUUCCUGCAAAUCAGUAACAUCCCAGUAAAAUCCUGAAAUGUUUCCAUCACAAACUCAUCCACAGAUACGUCUGUGAUGUUUAUAACUGUAUAACUGUAAACAUCAGUUAUAAUAUUUAUCAUUUUCAAGUUUUUUUUAUUUGUGUAUGUUUGUUAUCACUUCAGUUUAUAAGCCCCGCCUCUCUGAGCUGUGGGUGUAAAUGAAGGCUAACCCCUGAACUUUGUCCUCUGUUGCUGCCGUCCCUACAGACGCUGGAUUUCACAUCACCAACACGUCUUAAAGUUGACUUGAGGGGAAAAAAAGGCUGAAAAAAAGAGGUGGAGCAGCAGCUGACCGGGUUAUUUUCAGCAGAACAUCAUAUCCUCAACGUCCUCACAGAUCCUGGAGGAAUCUCUGUGCGCAGGGUCGACUCUGGGAUGAAAUCAGUGCAUCAGGACUUCCAGACAUCAGCGUAUGCGAGCAGCUCGGCGUGCCGCCCACACCUGCAGGUUACAGCUUCAUCACUCAGAGAAGAAGCCACAUGAUGAUGGACACAUGAUGGAGAAACUAUCUCCUCUGGACUAAAACUGAUCUGAGGUCAGAGAGAACCUCGUGUACACAUCUGUCUGGAGCUGCUGUGUCUCAUGUCUUCAGCGUGUCUCUGCGUCAUCACUGAUUCUGGAUCUGUUCACAGCUCCGCCCACCUGGACCACACCCACCUCAGAUUACUUUGUGUCUCUGGUUGUGUGUGUGGUUGUGAUCGUCGUGCUGUCGGCUGGUUUCCUGCUGCUCCUCUACAGAUGGAUGGAGAACAGGAAAAACAGGAAAUCAGAUGGAAGACAGGUGGAGGUGAAGGAGUCAUCAAUCCAGACACCAAGGUAUUUAUAUUCAUGAACUAUCUCUAUGACAACAACAUUAACCUUGCAUGACAGAUUAGUGCCACUAGAGGGCAGCAAACACCAGCUGCAUACAUACAUGUGCUGUAACUGGAUGUGUUAAAUAUUUUCAGUUACCUGCAGCCCAGCAGAAGAGCGGAGCUCCAGGAUCCACAUGUGACUCCACCUAUGAGACCAUGACUCCAGCCCCCACAGACCAGGACCACAUCUACUCCACCCUCACCGACACACAGCACACACUUUGCUAAUGCUCAGCAAACCACAGGAUGAUAUUU